CGUCAGUUAUUUUUGUAUAGUUCCCUCAGAUUCGUUUCACGCAUGCUGCUGUCAUUCUUCUGUUAUCCUUCUCCGCCCGGAAGUCCUUUUCUUUCUUGCUGACCAACUUCCUAUGCUAGCAUUGGUUGG